CCUGACUGCUAUCGGAUUGAUACUAAGCCAUGCGAGUCUUUGUAGUAAUACAAGGCAUACGGCUCAGUAACGCGUAGUCAACCUACCCUAUGGACAAGAAUAAUCUCGGGAAACUGAGCAUAAUUCUUGAUAGAUCAUAAUGCCUGGAAUGGUUUAUGGUUAAAAUGAUUCGUCGCCAUAGGAUGGGACUGCGGCCUAUCAGCUUGUUGGUGAGGUAAUGGCCCACCAAGGCGAUUACAGGUACGGGCUCUGAGAGGAGAAGCCCGGAGAUGGGUACUGAGAUAAGGACCCAGGCCCUAUGGGGCGCAGCAGGCGAGAAAACUUUGCAAUGUGCGAAAGCACGACAAGGUUAGUCCGAGUGAUUUCUGCUAAAGAGAUCUUUUGCUAGUUAUAAAACCACUAGUGAAUAAGGGGUGGGCAAGUUCCGGUGUCAGCCGCCGCGGUAAAACCAGCACCUCAAGUGGUCAGGAUGAUUAUUGGGCCUAAAGCAUCCGUAGCCGGCUCUGUAAGUUUUCGGUUAAAUCUAUGCGCUCAACGUAUGGGCUGCCGAAAAUACUGUAGAGAUAGGGAGUGGGAGAGGUAGACGGUACUCGGUAGGAAGGGGUAAAAUCCUUUGAUCUAUCGAUGACCACCUGUGGCGAAGGCGGUCUACCAGAACACGUUCGACGGUGAGGGAUGAAAGCUGGGGGAGCAAACCGGAUUAGAUACCCGGGUAGUCCCAGCUGUAAACGAUGCAGACUCGAUGAUGCAUUGGCAUAUAGCCAGUGCAGUGUCGCAGGGAAGCCGUUAAGUCUGCCGCCUGGGAAGUACGUACGCAAGUAUGAAACUUAAAGGAAUUGGCGGGGGAGCACCACAAGGGGUGAAGCCUGCGGUUC
rnacentral:rRNA from 1 species